rnacentral:rRNA from 1 species
CAAUAGCGUAUAUUAAAGUUGUUGCGGUUAAAAAGCUCGUAGUUGGAUUUCUGCCGAGGACGACCGGUCCGCCCUCUGGGUGAGUAUCUGGCUCGGCCUGGGCAUCUUCUUGGAGAACGUAGCUGCACUUGACUGUGUGGUGCGGUAUCCAGGACUUUUACUUUGAGGAAAUUAGAGUGUUUCAAGCAGGCUUACGCCUUGAAUACAUUAGCAUGGAAUAAUAAGAUAGGACCUCGGUUCUAUUUUGUUGGUUUCUAGAGCUGAGGUAAUGAUUAAUAGGGAUAGUUGGGGGCAUUCGUAUUUAACUGUCAGAGGUGAAAUUCUUGGAUUUGUUAAAGACGGACUAUUGCGAAAGCAUUUGCCAAGGAUGUUUUCAUUGA